rnacentral:rRNA from 1 species
UACGUAGGGCGCAAGCGUUAUCCGGAAUUAUUGGGCGUAAAGAGCUCGUAGGCGGUCUGUCGCGUCUGCCGUGAAAGUCCGGGGCUCAACUCCGGAUCUGCGGUGGGUACGGGCAGACUAGAGUGAUGUAGGGGAGAACGGAAUUCCUGGUGUAGCGGUGAAAUGCGCAGAUAUCAGGAGGAACACCGGUGGCGAAGGCGGGUCUCUGGGCCGAUACUGACGCUGAGGCACGAAGGUCAGGGGAGCAAACGGG